rnacentral:rRNA from 1 species
ACCCCAGGUCAGGGCGGGAUUACCCGCUGA